UUUGAUGCCUAAAUUAUUUAUCUUUAGGUCAUAAUCCUUCACCUUAGGUCGAUCGGUAUCUCAGUUUAAGGAAACUAAGAAAUUUAUUUGUUUAGUUUUUAUUGAAUUCAGUUCCUAACUUUGUCUAGGUCACACCCAACAAGGGUACUCCUGGGCCAUUAGCUCAGGUGGUUAGAGCGCACCCCUGAUAAGGGUGAGGCCCUGUCAAGUCAGGAUGGCCAUUCGGUGUUGGGGGUAUAGCUCAGUUGGUAGAGCGCCUGCUUUGCAAGCAGGAUGUCAGCGGUUCGAGUCCGCUUACCUCCACUGAUCGACCUCCUUCCAGCGAAGCUUUAGGAGAGUUUUGUCGGACGUGAUCUAGAAUUUGUUCAAUUGAAUGAACCUAGCUUCUUAUCAUUCCAAUUAGCCAAUUUUUAGUUUGGUUGGUAAGACGCUGGGCUCCCUGCAACAAACAUUGCAGAGAUGUUCAGUAGAACCUUGACAACUGCAUAGGUGAGUCUGGAAAAAAUAAAGCAUCUCAUGGAUGCAUUGUUUUUUGAUUGAUUUUUAGGGGUUUAAUGCAAUUAAAUUCCUAACUCUUGAUUUUAAAAGAUAAUGUUUAAUUCUUGAGCAAGAGCCGAGACUCUAUAA
rnacentral:tRNA from 1 species